rnacentral:rRNA from 1 species
AUGCGUGUGUUUUGGGCGGAUGCCACAGAAAGAAGACACUGUAGUCACUUUGGUGAUGUCAUAUCCUUUGAUUCUACAUACACCACUAAUCAGUACAACAUGAUAUUCGCAUCAUUUACCGGGGUUAAUCAUCACUUACAAAGUGUAUUUUUUGCUGCUGCAUUCUUAUCAAAUGAGAAGGAUGAGUCAUACAUUUGGUUAUUUGAGACCUUCUUAAGAGCAAUGGGAGGGAUAGCACCUAGACUCAUCAUAACCGAUGAAGCCACUAGCAUCAAGAAUGGUAUUGACGAAGUUCUUCCAACCAUCGUUCAUAGGUUGUGCAUGUGGCAUAUAAUGGAAAAGGUUCCUGAAAAAGUUGGACCUGUGAUUAGAGAAGAUUCUCAAUUUUGGACGAGAUUGAACUCAUGUGUUUGGGGUUCGGAAACUUCAACAGAGUUUGAGUCACAAUGGAAUUCCAUCAUUACAGAUUUUGGGUUGGAGGAAAAUGAGUGGUUGAGUAAAAGGUUUAGCAUUCAAGAUAAAUGGAUACCGGCGUACCUUAUGGAUAUACCUCUAGCCGGCAUUCUCCGAACCACUUCAAGAUCAGAAAGUGCAAAUUCCUUUUUUAACCGCUUCAUUCAUCGAAGGCUCGCUUUUGUUGAGUUUUGGCUUAGGUUUGACACAGCUUUGGAAUGCCAACGUGAGGAAGAAUUAAUGGCAGACAACAGAAGCAUACAUACCACCCUGCAACUAUUUACGCCAUGGACAAUGGAGAAACAAGGUAGUGAGGUAUUCACAUAUGAGGUGUUCGAGAAAUUUCAGCUACAGGUUAUUGCUGCUAGAGACGUUGUUGUGUUCAGAAUAUUACACAAGGUGUGGGGGGUAAAAAAUGUGACCCUGAGAGGUCGGUCUGGUAAGAUUAGGGAGGUUUGCUAUGACAUUGGAAGCAUGACAGCAAAUUGUUCGUGCAAGUUAUUUGAGUCACUCGGUAUUCCAUGUCGCCAUAUUAUCCAAGUUUUGAGGAUUGAAAACCAAAAUGAGCUUCCUAGCUACUACAUUAUGAAAAGAUGGCAGAAAAGGUGCAAAAGGUAA